rnacentral:lncRNA from 1 species
CGGAGGAGCGCGCACGUGCCUGGACUCCUGCCUGGAACAGUGCAGGCGCUCAAAAGUGUUAGAAAACAGCAGGGCGCCAACAGAAAAACCCACAGUGCGCGCAGGCUGGAACCUCGGGUCCUCUGUGCAUUCUCUCAUUACGUCCUCAGAAUACACCAAUCGAUAAAGCAUCAUCUGCUUUCAUAUAAUGUGAUGAUGGUUGAUUCCAAAGACUUAUGUGAAGAGAAAAUGUUGUGGGCCCCCAGAUCACGAAGUUGGAGGAAAAAGCGCACCUGGGAGCUCUUAGGGCAGACGCGCCUCCCGUUGCACUCAAAGGCAGCCCUCUGCUCACUGACAUAGACGCAUAUCUGAUUGCCUCCUUCGGAAAAGAGAAGCAGAAACUCAAAGAAUGCAGCCAUUUGUCUCUCACCUACCUGUGACCAGAAGCCCCCCGCCGACCUUGGAGCUGCCUUCCCUUCGCAUCACGUCCUCCUGCCUCUCCAGGCCGAACCAGCGUUCAUCUUACACGUUUUGAUUGAUGUCUCCUGUCUCCCUAAAAUGUGUAAAGCCUAGCAGUGCCCCAAAGACCUUGGACAGUGUCGUCAGAGGCCGUGUCAUGGGCGUGCCCUUGAUCUUGUCAAAAUAAACUUUCUAAAUGGACUGAGACCUGUCUCAGGUGUUUGGGGUUCACACCUGUCACUGGGGUGAUGUCCGUGACCCGUGAGAGAUGCAGCCUCUGUCUCCCCUUCUUUCUUGGAGCAGCCCCUGGCCCCGUCCAUGCGGCCCUGGCGGAGGCCU